rnacentral:rRNA from 1 species
CCAGACUCCUACGGGAGGCAGCAGUAGGGAAUCUUCGGCAAUGGACGAAAGUCUGACCGAGCAACGCCGCGUGAGUGAAGAAGGUUUUCGGAUCGUAAAACUCUGUUGGUAGAGAAGAACGUUGGUGAGAGUGGAAAGCUCAUCAAGUGACGGUAACUACCCAGAAAGGGACGGCUAACUACGUGCCAGCAGCCGCGGUAAUACGUAGGUCCCGAGCGUUGUCCGGAUUUAUUGGGCGUAAAGCGAGCGCAGGUGGUUUAUUAAGUCUGGUGUAAAAGGCAGUGGCUCAACCAUUGUAUGCAUUGGAAACUGGUAGACUUGAGUGCAGGAGAGGAGAGUGGAAUUCCAUGUGUAGCGGUGAAAUGCGUAGAUAUAUGGAGGAACACCGGUGGCGAAAGCGGCUCUCUGGCCUGUAACUGACACUGAGGCUCGAAAGCGUGGGGAGCAAACAGGAUUAGAUACCCCAGUA